UACGUAGGGCGCAAGCGUUGUCCGGAAUUAUUGGGCGUAAAGCGCACGUAGGCGGUUGCUUAAGUCGGAUGUGAAAGCCCUUGGCUCAACCAAGGAAGUGCAUCCGAAACUGAGCAGCUGGAGUACGAAAGAGGGUCGCGGAAUUCCCAGUGUAGAGGUGAAAUUCGUAGAUAUUGGGAGGAACACCGGUGGCGAAGGCGGCGACCUGGGUCGAUACUGACGCUGAGGUGCGAAAGCGUGGGGAGCAAACAGG
rnacentral:rRNA from 1 species